rnacentral:lncRNA from 1 species
GAAGGGAGUGGACCUGGAAUCUUGGGUAAGCCCAAGCAGCACUGUGAUCUACCUGGAGCCAACUCUAGGGAAAAUAAACAGCUGGAAAUGUUAUUUGAAGCAACCCCCGCCCCCAUAACCUGCACACAUGGAUGCAUGUGCGCAUGUACACACACACGCAUACACAUGCACACAGGCAUAUACCUAUCCCCAUAUCUCCAGGUGUUGCCUUUCUUUCCUCCUCAGCCUCCCAAGGCCUAUUCACAAUUCCGACUAAUAUUAGAAUUGGGAGGUAAAAAGUUCCCAUUUCCAGUGGGAAGACUUUGGAGCAGCCCAGAGUGGGCAUUGAUGACCCGCAGCUGAGCAGGAGUUGAUGAGCUCACAUGAAGGGUGGCCUCUCCUCUAAAACCUUGGCGGAGAGGCCCUUCUCAGGAUAUCAUUGCUGACUCAAAAGAUCUUGAUACUUUACAGAGUCUUUAAUAUCUAGCCAAUUAAUUUCUAGAUUUUUCUUUCAGAAAAAAACUUUAAACUUUUUAUUUUGGAAUAAUGAUAGGUCCACAGGAAGUUUCAAAAAUCAAAGGCCUGUGUACCCUUCCCCAACUUUCCCCCAAAAGUAACAGCUUACAUGACGAUUGUACAGAGCCAGGAAAUAGACAUGAGUAUAGUACUGCUGACUGGUCUACAGACCUUAGGCAGAGUCCCCAGUUUUCACCUGCACUCAUUCGUGUGUGUGUGUGUGUGUAUAGUUCCAUGCAAUCUUGUCCCAUGUGCAGUUUCUACCACAACCCAAAUCCCAACCGUUCUAUCUGCACAACGUCACUCUCACACUACCUUUCUUUGUGUGUGUGUGUGUGUGUGUGUGGAAUUUUUUUUUAAAUUUUACUUUAAGUUCUGGGAUUCAUGUGCAGAACGUGCAGGUUUGUUGCAUAGGUAUACAUGUGCCAUGAUGGUUUGCUGCACCUAUCAACUCAUCAUCUAGGUUUUAAGUCCCACAUGCAUUAGGUAUUUGUCCUAAUGAUCUCCCUCCCCUCACCCCAACCCCCCAACAGGCCCUGGUGUGUGAUGUUCCCCUCCCUGUGUCCAUGUGUUCUCAUUAUUCAACUCCGACUUAUGAGUGAGAACAUGCAAUGUUUGGUUUUCUGUUCCUGUGUUAGUUUGCUGAGAAUGAUGGUUUCCAGCUUCAUCCAUGUCCCUGCAAAGGACAUGAACUCAUUCUUUUUUAUGGUUGCAUAGUAUCCUAUGGUGUAUAUGUGCCACAUUUUCUUUAUCCAGUCUAUCACUGAUGGGCAUUUGGGUUGGUUCCAAGUCUUUGCUAUUGUAAAUAGUGCUGCAGUAAACAUACACUUGCAUGUGUCUUUAUAGUAGAAUGAUGUAUAAUCUUUUGGGUAUACACCCAGUAAUGGAAUUACUGGGCACGCUGCCUUUUUACAGUCACAUGCCACUACACACACACAUUCCCCCCUGGAUCCCCAUCCCCUGGCAAACACUAAUUUUUCUCCAUCUCUAUAAUGAUGUCAUUUCAAGAAUGUUAUAUGACUGGGAUCAUAUAGUAUGGAACCUUCUGAGAUUGGCUUUUUUCACUCAGCAUAAAGCCUCAGCACUGUGUUCCUUCUGACUGCUCAGUAGUAUGCCAUGGUGUUAAACUGUGGCAUAUCCACACCAUGGCAUACUACUGAGCAGUCAUAUGCCACAGUUUAACCAUGCAGUCUCCCAAGGACAUUUGGAUGAUUUUCAGGUUUUGAUUGUUGGAAAUAAAGCUUCUACAAAUAUUUGUGUGUGGGUUUUUGCAUGGACACGAGUUUCCGCUUCUCUGGGAUAAAUGCUGAGGGGCAAGCUCUGCACCACGUGACAAGUAUAUGUUUAGUUUCAUAAGAAACUGCAAAACUGUUCUUCAGAGUGUCUGUACCACUUUGCCUCCCCACAUGCAAUGUCUGAGAGAUGCAAUAUGUCUGCCUUCUUGCCAGUGUUUGGAACCAUCACUAUUUUUUUGUUCUAGCUGUUCUGAUAGGUGUGUAGUGAUGUGUCAGAUAUCUCAUUGUGGCUUUAAUUUGCAUUUUCCUAAUGGCUAAUGAAGUUGAGCAACUUUUCAUUGCAUAUUUGCAAUCUCUUCUUUGGUGAAAUGUCUGUUCAGGGUAGGUUAUGCUGUGGUGGUGAUCUUUUCUUGACUUUAAUUGCAUUCGUAUAGUCAUUACCACACAACUGAAUAAAGGAAAAUUAAAGUGGUGAGUGCUUAUUCUAUUAUCUGUUUUUGCCUCCAUGGUGCUGUGUUUGGAGUCUAAGGCUCCGC